CGGCGUGCUUAACACAUGCAAGUCGAACGAUGAACCACUUCGGUGGGGAUUAGUGGCGAACGGGUGAGUAACACGUGGGCAAUCUGCCCUGCACUCUGGGACAAGCCCUGGAAACGGGGUCUAAUACCGGAUACUGAUCCUCGCAGGCAUCUGCGAGGUUCGAAAGCUCCGGCGGUGCAGGAUGAGCCCGCGGCCUAUCAGCUAGUUGGUGAGGUAACGGCUCACCAAGGCGACGACGGGUAGCCGGCCUGAGAGGGCGACCGGCCACACUGGGACUGAGACACGGCCCAGACUCCUACGGGAGGCAGCAGUGGGGAAUAUUGCACAAUGGGCGAAAGCCUGAUGCAGCGACGCCGCGUGAGGGAUGACGGCCUUCGGGUUGUAAACCUCUUUCAGCAGGGAAGAAGCGAAAGUGACGGUACCUGCAGAAGAAGCGCCGGCUAACUACGUGCCAGCAGCCGCGGUAAUACGUAGGGCGCAAGCGUUGUCCGGAAUUAUUGGGCGUAAAGAGCUCGUAGGCGGCUUGUCACGUCGGUUGUGAAAGCCCGGGGCUUAACCCCGGGUCUGCAGUCGAUACGGGCAGGCUAGAGUUCGGUAGGGGAGAUCGGAAUUCCUGGUGUAGCGGUGAAAUGCGCAGAUAUCAGGAGGAACACCGGUGGCGAAGGCGGAUCUCUGGGCCGAUACUGACGCUGAGGAGCGAAAGCGUGGGGAGCGAACAGGAUUAGAUACCCUGGUAGUCCACGCCGUAAACGGUGGGCACUAGGUGUGGGCAACAUUCCACGUUGUCCGUGCCGCAGCUAACGCAUUAAGUGCCCCGCCUGGAUUCGCCAUUCUUU
rnacentral:rRNA from 1 species